GUGAUCUAUAGUGAAACUAAAUAUAGAAACUGAACAAUCUUCAUUAUUAAGCUUCUGAAGAUUUCAACGAGCUAUCAGAUUCUGUUUUAAGAGGAUGAGUAUGAGUGUGGAGUGAAUGAGCACUCGAGCAAGCGGAUCUGAAGCUGGAACCGAGAAGAAAUGAGAUUAUUUGUUUGGAAGAAGAAGAGGAAACUGAAGUUCAAUAUUUUGAUUAGAUGAUGAAGUUUUAUAUAUCGGCAACGGGGAUUAAAAAACUGACUAUAUCGAGUUCCGCCGCUGUUACUAGCGGCAGAGGUGGCGUAGGGUUGCCGGUUAUUAUGAAAGGGAAAGGAUUACCGUCGGUGACUCGCCGGAUAUCUCACCGGACGUUGUUAUUGCCGGCCGUUUUGGUUCUCGGUUUACUUUUAACCUUACUGUUUUUCAGAAUUACCUUUAUCAUGCUCGAAUCUGCCGCUUUUUGCUCUUCCCCUAUCGGGUGUCUAGGAUGGAGGAUUUUCGGCGGGAGUGACUCAACUCUGAUCAGAGAAGAGUUGAUGCGCGCAUUGUUGGAGGCAACAAAUGAUGGUGACAAUGGAAAAGAGAGGAGCUCAACUUCAUUACCAUCCUCAUUCAAUGAUCUUGUGAAGGACAUGACUUCAAAUGGACAAGACAUCAAGGCUUUCGCUUUCAAAACUAAAGCUAUGAUAAUAAAGAUGGAGCAAAUGGUAGAAUCAGCAAGGCAAAGUGAGUCUAUUUUUUGGCACUUAGCUUCUCACGGUGUACCAAAGGGCAUACAUUGCCUAUCCCUCAAGUUAGCUGAAGAAUAUGCUGAAAAUGCUGCUGCACGUUCUCGCUUGCCUUCACCCCAAUAUGUUUCCCACCUCAUUGACCCUUCCUUCCAUCAUGUAGUUCUUUUAACGGACAAUGUGCUUGCUGCGUCUGUUGUAGUUUCCUCAACCAUUAAAAGCUCCAGUAACCCAGAAAGAUUGGUGUUUCAUAUAGUUACUGAUAAGAAGACAUACACAGCAAUGCAUGCAUGGUUUGCUGUAAACUCUGUUAAUUCGGCUGUCUUGGAAGUAAGAGGAUUGCAUCAGUAUGAUUGGUCUCAUGAAGUGAAUAUUGGGAUUAAGGAGAUGAUAGAGAUUCAUAGAUUGAUCUGUAGUCACAAGCUUGACAGCAUGAAAAGGGAAAAUAUUCCAAACAAGUAUGAACAUGAAAAAGAUUUGCAGCAUCUACGGCCUAGCUGUACAUCCCUCUUGAAUCAUCUGCGCAUCUAUAUCCCCGAGCUUUUCCCAGACCUGAACAAGAUUGUAUUUUUGGACGAUGAUACUGUAGUACAGCAUGAUUUAUCGUCUCUGUGGGAACUUGAUCUCAACGGGAAAGUUGUUGGUGCAGCUUUUGACUCGAGUUGUGGAGAUGACUGUUGCCCUGGAAGAAAGUACAAGGAUUACUUUAAUUUUACGAGUCCUAUUAUAUCAUCUAAGUUGGAUUAUGAUCGUUGCGGAUGGCUUUAUGGAAUGAAUGUCUUUGAUCUCCAGGCUUGGAGGAAGACUAACAUCACUGCAACUUACCAUCACUGGCUUAAACUUAACCUGAACUCUGGUUUCGAAUUGUGGAAUCCUGGAGCACUUCCGCCUUCUCUAAUUGCUUUUGAGGGUCAUGUGCACCGGAUUGAUGCUUCAUGGCACAUUGCUGGUUUAGGUUAUCGAUCCAUUAUUGAUGUCACACAAUCUGCACUGGAAGAUGGAGCAGUUGUACAUUUCAGUGGACCAGCCAAGCCAUGGCUUGAGAUUGGGGCCCCUGAGAUACGAAGCUUGUGGAGCCGCCAUGUAAAUAUGUCAAGUGAAUUCAUUAGGAAAUGUGGAAUCAUGGAGUGAACAAUUAAGGGGACAA
rnacentral:misc_RNA from 1 species